CACCGCGGUUAUACGAGAGACUCAAGUUGACAACCCACCGGCGUAAAAAGUGGUUAAUUAUACAGUAUUACUAAAGUUGAAUGCCCUCAAAACCGUUAUACGUUCUCGAGGCUAAGAAAGCCCCCCACGAAAGUGACUUUACAAUGAUGACGCCACUAGAGCUGUGAAA
rnacentral:rRNA from 1 species